UGAGUACGAGCGGCUACGGCCGCGAAGUGGAUGAUGUCAAGCUUCCAAGAAAAGCCCUAUACCCGUUAAGGCAUGAUGGCCUGUACCCGAAACCGACACAGGUGGGGUGGUAGAGAAUACCGAGGGGCGCGAGGUAACUCUCUCUAAGGAACUCGGCAAAAUGGCCCCGUAACUUCGGGAGAAGGGGUGCCACCGCGAGGUGGUCGCAGUGAAGAGGCCCAGGCGACUGUUUACCAAAAACACAGGUCUCCGCUAAGUCGCAAGACGAUGUAUGGGGGCUGACGCCUGCCCAGUGCCGGAAGGUUAAGGAAGCUGGUCAGCGCAAGCGAAGCUGGCGACUGAAGCCCCGGUGAACGGCGGCCGUAACGAUAACGGUCCUAAGGUAGCGAAAUUCCUUGUCGGGUAAGUUCCGACCCGCACGAAAGGCGUAGCGAUCUGGGCGCUGUCUCGGAGAGAGGCUCGGCGAAAUAGAAUUGUCUGUGAAGAUGCGGACUACGUGCACCCGGACAGAAAGACCCUAUGAAGCUUUACUGUAGCUUGGUAUUGUGCUCGGGCUCGGAAUGCGCAGGAUAGGUGGGAGGCUUUGAUCCAUUGCUUGCGGGUGAUGGUGAGCCACUGGUGAGAUACCACUCUUUCCGAGCUAGAGUUCUAACAGCAACCCGUUAUCCGGGUGCUGGACAGUAUCAGGUGGGCAGUUUGACUGGGGCGGUCGCCUCCUAAAAGGUAACGGAGGCGCGCAAAGGUCUGCUCAGGCUGGUUGGAAAUCAGCCGACGAGUGUAAAAGCAGAAGCAGGCUUGACUGUGAGACCUACAAGUCGAACAGGGAGGAAACUCGGCUUUAGUGAUCCGACGGUUCUGCGUGGAAGGGCCGUCGCUCAACGGAUAAAAGUUACUCUAAGGAUAACAGGCUGAUCUCCCCCAAGAGUUCACAUCGACGGGGAGGUUUGGCACCUCGAUGUCGGCUCAUCGCAACCUGGGGCUGAAGUCGGUCCCAAGGGUUGGGCUGUUCGCCCAUUAAAGCGGUACGCGAGCUGGGUUCAGAACGUCGUGAGACAGUUCGGUCCAUAUCCGGUGCACGCGCGGGAAUAUUGAGAGGAUUUCUCCCUAGUACGAGAGGACCGGGAGGAACGCACCUCUGGUGUGCCAGUUAUCGUGCCAACGGUAAACGCUGGGUAGCCAUGUGCGGAGUGGAUAACCGCUGAAAGCAUCUAAGUGGGAAGCCCACCUCAAGAUGAGUAUUCCCAUGGCAUAAGCCAGUAAGGUCACGGGAAGAACACCCGUUGAUAGGCUCUACGUGGAAGCGCAGUAAUGUGUGAAGCGGAGGAGUACUAAUAGACCGAGGGCUUGAU
rnacentral:rRNA from 1 species